UUCAAGGACCCUGACUGUCAGAAGCCUUGUGUUAGUAAGGUUUGUUGUUUAUUGAAUGGUGGAGCACCUUAAGAUCUGUCUUUUGUAUGCAAAUUGAGCUUUAGAUGCUUGGUCCUUGUUUCUGAGUGGUUGUUUCUGGUGGGAAUGCUUCUAGUGCUAAUGGCGUCAAAGGCAUAAUUAUGAUAUUUUUUAGGCUACGGUUGGAAAUUAAUGAGAUUAAUGUUCUGGGGUACUGUUCUCAUCAAAUAUGUUAAUAGGAUAAAGUUUUGUGUCAAUACUCAGGAGCUUUUAAGGAGUUGUUUGGCUUUAGCUUGCUCAUUGUAUUACUAGAUGAUUCUGCCACAUCGCAAUUAAAAAGCUAAAUCGGAUAGUGGUGGAAAGGAUGUUGUUGAGAUUGAUCAUGAUGAGAGACCAGAAGAUGGAACUUUGGCACCUUCUUUGUCAGUAUGUCGAUCUAUAGCUCUGGAGAAUUGAUAUUCAAUAGAUUCGAAGGUUUUCAGAGGAUCUUAUGUAUUUAAAAGUGAAACAAGUCAUAAAGAGAGCACAACAAACCUUUUCAACUCACAAGUUCUGGCUGAUUUGGAUAUGAGGAUUAUCUUGGUUGCAGUGCAGCUGAAGAUUGUCCAUUGCUCUUGGAUGAGUUUUCCCUGAAUCCUCGUUGAGUAAGCUGACCUCCUUUUACACCCACUUCAGCAGAGAGCAGAGCAGUGAACCAGCCAGUUUGAUGAACAAGUUACACAUGCAAUAGCCAAUGCUCUGGAAAGUAAUAAGGUAACACAUAGUAGCUGCUCUUAAGCUAUGGGAUGAUCAGCUGUGGGCUGUGGCAUUGACUGAUCGUGUGAUUUUACUUCCAAGUGGUAUAAAUGCAAUAUGCAUUGCUGCAGUACUGGGUAUAAAGAAUUUGCUGUAUUUACUAGAAUUCAGAUUUGGCAGGUAAAGGUAAUAAUAAUUCCUGCUCUUGAAAACCCUGAAGCCAAUUAGUCUUGCUGAUAUUGCAACAAUAUAUGAAAUAUGCUUCUGCAAUCAAAAGCAGGAGAUGAAAAGCAUAUGCUGUAGGAAUCAGCAAAGCCUGUCUUUGUUUUGGUGUAUCUCUAA